CAGCAGCCGCGGUAAACCGUAGGAACCGAGCGUUAUCCGAAUUUACUGAGCGUAAAGCGCGUGUAGGCGGUUCGGUAAGUUGGAUGUGAAAGCUCCUGGCUCAACUAGGAGAGGACGUUCAAUACUGUCGGACUAGAGGGCAGCAGAGGAAAGUGGAAUUCCCGGU
rnacentral:rRNA from 1 species